rnacentral:rRNA from 1 species
GGGCAUUCAUAUUAAAUGGUUAGCGGUGAAAUGUGUGGACCCAUUUAAGAUGAACUAAAGCGAAAGCAUUUGCCAAGGAUGUUUUCAUUAAUCAAGAACGAAAGUUAAGGGAUCGAAGACGAUUAGAUACCGUCGUAGUCUUAACUAUAAACUAUGCCGACCAGGGAUAUGAGUAGUUUAUUUCAUUAGUUUUCGGAUUAGUGAUACUUCUCCUUAUGCACCUUGUGAGAAAUCAUAAGUUUUUGGGUUCUGGGGGAAGUAUGGUCGCAAGGCUGAAACUUAAAGGAAUUGACGGAGGGGCACCACCAGGAGUGGAGCGUGCGGCUUAAUUUGACUCAACACGGGAAAACUUACCAGGUCCAGACAUUUGAAGGAUUGACAGAUUGAUAGCUCUUUCAUGAUUAAAUGGGUGGUGGUGCAUGGCCGUUCUUAGUCUGGUGGAGUGCUUUGC